rnacentral:rRNA from 1 species
AGAGUUUGAUCCUGGCUCAGGAUGAACGCUAGCUACAGGCUUAACACAUGCAAGUCGAGGGGCAUCAGGAAGAAAGCUUGCUUUCUUUGCUGGCGACCGGCGCACGGGUGAGUAACACGUAUCCAACCUGCCCUUUACUCGGGGAUAGCCUUUCGAAAGAAAGAUUAAUACCCGAUAGCAUAAUGAUUCCGCAUGGUUUCAUUAUUAAAGGAUUCCGGUAAAGGAUGGGGAUGCGUUCCAUUAGGUUGUUGGUGAGGUAACGGCCCACCAAGCCUUCGAUGGAUAGGGGUUCUGAGAGGAAGGUCCCCCACAUUGGAACUGAGACACGGUCCAAACUCCUACGGGAGGCAGCAGUGAGGAAUAUUGGUCAAUGGGCGUUAGCCUGAACCAGCCAAGUAGCGUGAAGGAUGAAGGCUCUAUGGGUCGUAAACUUCUUUUAUAUAAGAAUAAAGUGCAGUAUGUAUACUGUUUUGUAUGUAUUA